UAAGAGAUCAAAGAGGAAGAAGAAGACAAGGAUAUGGAGAAGAGAGAGAAGGAUACCGUUUUCUUCGCGUAGAGGUGAAGGAGAGGGAGGAGAGAGGAGAGGUCGAGCUCCGCGUGGGGCGCGAAUGGUGGGGGGGGCGAAUAGGGUCUGAGAGGUGAAGGAAAGGGAGGAGAGAGGAGAGGUGAAGGAGAGGGGGAGAGCUCGAUCGAGGGGUGGGGGCGAAUAGGGUCUGAGCCUAAUCGGCUUGUUUUGGUUUGAAUUAGAGUUAGUGUUAGUAUUAUACUAGUGGUCAAAAAUAUAUUAAUAUAAAAUUAACGGCUACUUAAAAUAAUUGCCGCUAAA
rnacentral:lncRNA from 1 species